rnacentral:rRNA from 1 species
GACGAACGCUGGCGGCAUGCUUAACACAUGCAAGUCGAACGGAAAGGCCCUGCUUUUGUGGGGUGCUUGAGUGGCGAACGGGUGAGUAACACGUGAGUAACCUGCCCUUGACUUUGGGAUAACUUCAGGAAACUGGGGCUAAUACCGGAUAGGAGCUCCUGCUGCAUGGUGGGGGUUGGAAAGUUUCGGCGGUUGGGGAUGGACUCGCGGCUUAUCAGCUUGUUGGUGGGGUAGUGGCUUACCAAGGCUUUGACGGGUAGCCGGCCUGAGAGGGUGACCGGCCACAUUGGGACUGAGAUACGGCCCAGACUCCUACGGGAGGCAGCAGUGGGGAAUAUUGCACAAUGGGCGGAAGCCUGAUGCAGCAACGCCGCGUGCGGGAUGACGGCCUUCGGGUUGUAAACCGCUUUCGCCUGUGACGAAGCGUGAGUGACGGUAAUGGGUAAAGAAGCACCGGCUAACUACGUG